rnacentral:rRNA from 1 species
UACGUAGGGUCCAAGCGUUAUCCGGAAUCACUGGGCGUAAAGCGUGCGUAGGCGGGCGAGUAAGUGCGAUGCGAAAUCCUGUGGCUCAACCAUAUGGACUGUAUCGCAUACUGCUCAUCUUGAGGACGGCAGAGGCAAGUGGAACUGGCGGUGUAGCAGUGAAAUGCGUAGAUAUCGCCAAGAACACCAAUGGCGAAGGCAGCUUGCUGGGCCGACCCUGACGCUGAGGCACGAAAGCGUGGGGAGCGAACAGG